rnacentral:pre_miRNA from 1 species
UUGGGUGAAAUUAAUGUGGGUCCUACACUUUGGAAAUGGGUCCCACUCAAAGUGGUUGGACCCAUGUUCAUUUCACCUAA